AGCAUUUGAAAAUUUAAAAUUUUGAUUAUGAUUGUCUUACAUAAUUUGAUUGGAUAUUUUCUUUAAGUUUUUUUAAUAGAUAAACUAGCAUGUUUCCAUCUUCAGUCAUAAUACCAUUUCUCAAUUCACUUCAACAGUAAGACAACCCAUUUACACAAACCCGUACCUGGGCAUCUGGGAUCUAUGCACAAUUAAGUGUUGCAUGAAGUUCAAGAUUGCUCCCAUAAAUUUGAAUGUUACGACAGUGUUCAAACUUAAAAUUAAUAAAUUAAAGAUUAUGUCCGCUAAAUUUCUUUAAAAACCACCACAUGGAAUUAUAGAUGUUGGGCAUAGCGUAGAAAUAGGACAAAACAGAACAGUAGAUAUCUAACGAGCAUGAUCAGGCAAUUGGCAUAAAAGCAUUCCAGAAUCCAUGAUUCUAACAGNNNN
rnacentral:lncRNA from 1 species